CAGCAGCCGCGGUAAAACGUAGGGUGCAAGCGUUAAUCGGAAUUACUGGGCGUAAAGCGUGCGCAGGCGGUUUGUUAAGACAGAUGUGAAAUCCCCGGGCUUAACCUGGGAACUGCAUUUGUGACUGUAGAGCUGGAGUACGGCAGAGGGGGAUGGAAUUCCGCGUGUAGCAGUGAAAUGCGUAGAUAUGCGGAGGAACACCGAUGGCGAAGGCAAUCCCCUGGGCCCGUACUGACGCUCAUGCACGAAAGCGUGGGGAGCAAACAGGAUUAGAUACCCCGGUAGUCCCUGUCUCUUAUAC
rnacentral:rRNA from 1 species